UACGUAGGGUGCAAGCGUUAAUCGGAAUUACUGGGCGUAAAGCGUGCGCAGGCGGUGAUGUAAGACAGGUGUGAAAUCCCCGGGCUUAACCUGGGAACUGCAUUUGUGACUGCAUCGCUGGAGUGCGGCAGAGGGGGAUGGAAUUCCACGUGUAGCAGUGAAAUGCGUAGAGAUGUGGAGGAACACCGAUGGCGAAGGCAGCCCCCUGGGCCAAUACUGACGCUCAUGCACGAAAGCGUGGGGAGCAAACAGG
rnacentral:rRNA from 1 species